rnacentral:rRNA from 1 species
AACGUAGGAGGCAAGCGUUAUCCGGAGUAACUGGGCGUAAGGGGCGGGUAGGUGGUUGUGUAAGUUGGUUAUGAAAGCUCCUGGCUAAACUGGGAGAGGUUGACCAAGACUGCAGAACUUGAGUGGAGAAGAGGUAAACGGAAUUCCGCGUGUAGUGGUGAAAUGCGUAGAGAUGCGGAAGAACACCAGUGGCGAAGGCGGUUUACUGGUCUCCAACUGACACUGAGCCGCGAAAGCAUGGGUAGCGAACGGG